AUUGAACGCUGGCGGCAUGCCUUACACAUGCAAGUCGAACGGCAGCACGGGUGCUUGCACCUGGUGGCGAGUGGCGAACGGGUGAGUAAUACAUCGGAACAUGUCCUGUAGUGGGGGAUAGCCCGGCGAAAGCCGGAUUAAUACCGCAUACGAUCUACGGAUGAAAGCGGGGGACCUUCGGGCCUCGCGCUAUAGGGUUGGCCGAUGGCUGAUUAGCUAGUGGGUGGGGUAAAGGCCUACCAAGGCGACGAUCAGUAGCUGGUCUGAGAGGACGACCAGCCACACUGGGACUGAGACACGGCCCAGACUCCUACGGGAGGCAGCAGUGGGGAAUUUUGGACAAAGGGCGAAAGCCUGAUCCAGCAAUGCCGCGUGUGUGAAGAAGGCCUUCGGGUUGUAAAGCACUUUUGUCCGGAAAGAAAUCCUUGGCCCUAAUACGGUCGGGGGAUGACGGUACCGGAAGAAUAAGCACCGGCUAACUACGUG
rnacentral:rRNA from 1 species